rnacentral:rRNA from 1 species
CUUAGUGGCGGACGGGUGAGUAACGCGUGGGUAACCUGCCUCACACCGGGGGAUAACAGUUAGAAAUAGCUGCUAAUACCGCAUAAGCGCACAGUUCCGCAUGGAACAGUGUGAAAAACUCCGGUGGUGUGAGAUGGACCCGCGUCUGAUUAGCCAGUUGGCGGGGUAACGGCCUACCAAGGCGACGAUCAGUAGCCGGCCUGAGAGGGUGAACGGCCACAUUGGGACUGAGACACGGCCCAAACUCCUACGGGAGGCAGCAUG